rnacentral:rRNA from 1 species
AACGAACGCUGGCGGCAGGCCUAACACAUGCAAGUCGAACGCUCCGCAAGGGGAGUGGCAGACGGGUGAGUAACACGUGGGAAUCUUCCUGUUGGUGCGGAAUAGCUCAGGGAAACUUGGGGUAAUACCGCAUAAGCCCGAGAGGGGAAAGAUUUAUCGCCGACAGACGAGCCCGCGUCUGAUUGGCUAGUUGGUGAGGUAACGGCUCACCAAGGCGACGAUCAGUAGCUGGUCUGAGAGGAUGACCAGCCACACUGGGACUGAGACACGGCCCAGACUCCUACGGGGGGCAGCAGGGGGGAAUAUUGGACAAUGGGCGCAAGCCUGAUCCAGCCAUGCCGCGUGAGUGACGAAGGUCUUCGGAUUGUAAAGCUCUUUUGGCGGGGACGAUAAUGACGGUACCCGCAGAAUAAGCCCCGGCUAACUUCGUGCCAGCCGCCGCCGUAACAC